rnacentral:lncRNA from 1 species
CAGGAAAUACUGCUACACAACCUUGAACUACUUCACACAUCGAAAAAGAACACGUACUCUUUCUCUACCAAAAGUGAAUUUAUCAGUUACACAUACAAGGCUCCACAAGCAGACAAACAGAAGAGCAGAGAAGGAGAGAAGAGAAGGAGCUUCUUAAUGUCAAGAGGAGCUAGGCUGGGGACAGUAGGAGAGGAGAUUGGCCACUGCAUGGCCAAACUCCAGGUGACGAUCAUCUUCCCAUUCCAUCCCCCUUCCAGCUCCCCAUCC